ACGUAGGUGGCAAGCGUUGUCCGGAAUUAUUGGGCGUAAAGCGCGCGCAGGCGGUUAUGUAAGUCUGAUGUUAAAGCCCGAGGCUCAACCUCGGGUCGGCCGUGCGAACUGGGUCACUUGAGCAGAAUAGAGGCAGGUGGAAUUCCGGGUGUAGCGGUGGAAUGCGUAGAGAUCCGGAAGAACACCGGUGGCGAAGGCGGCCUGCUAGACCUGUACUGACACUGAGGGACGAAAGCUAGGGGAGCGAAUGGGA
rnacentral:rRNA from 1 species